GUAGUGACAUGAUUUUCUUCAUGUUUAAAGAAGUCAAAAUUGUGUUUUAUUUUAUUCACUGUGGAUGCUGAUAAUGGAGCGUUGUUAGGUUUCUCCAACUCAAAACGAUCACAUUAAAAACACUAGUCCUUUUCGAUUUCCUUUAUGAUUUUGCUUCGUGUGACUACAUUCAGUUGCUCUAUGAAAACAGCUGAAUAUGAAAAUAACUUUUUAGCUACGAACUAACAGGCUAACGAACGAACCAAGCUAGUAUGUACAGUAGCCCGGUUAUAAGAAUGCCCUUAUAUUGAGCGUUCCUUGAAUGGGACGGGACCAAACAUGACCAACAACUAAAAACGUCUUAAAAAUUCUGAUUAUGAGCAUGUAAAUUAUGACCGAAUAACAUUUUGUACCUAGUACUAGUUGUAGUCCUAGUUAUGUACCUGAAACAGAUUAGGUUUUUUGACAUUUUUCAAUGAGAAACGCCUGUGAGCCAAACGUCCCAAUCAUUAUGCUGGCAGGAAAUGGCGGGAAUGGAACUUUGAAAGUGCUGUUAUUCUUAGUUGAUAAAACAUGUAACAGACAGAAAUAAAAGGUGAGAUUCUGUACUUUGGCUUCUUUUAUCUUUUAAUCAUAUUUUCGUAUGCCUUAAGUGUACAGCAAAAAUAGCAGUUUUGACUUGACUGUCCCAAUGCUUACGGAGAGCCCAGUAUACCCGUUGAUUCUUGAAUAUAUCAUUUAUAAAUGCCUCAUGAGCUUAAUUCAACUGUUGUACCCAAUUCUAUAAAAUCAGCAGAUUCUAAUUGGGUUUGUGACAUAAUUUGAUGUGCUUGAUGUUUAGAUGUUCACAAAUUUAUGUUGUAUUCCUCCACAGGGACAUAAGAGGAGGUGAAGGACAGGAUAUGAAGCAUCUGAGGAUUCUCCUCCUUCUAGCAGGUAAUGCGUGCAGUGAAUAUAUGCCUCCAAUCUCAACCUGACGCUAGCUUAACAAUUGCUCAUGAAGGGUUACAUAAUCACCAUCUACCACUAUAGCUAGUUUGAAAGAAGAGCAGUGACUGUUAGAUGGAUCUUGGUUCAGUAUCAGGAUGGUGGAUAUAGAGUAUAAUGGACUGAAAUGUUUUCUUAACUGACCUUUUUCUUAUUCAUUUUCUAACAGGACUAGUGGGGACAACAUCAGGCCAGAGCACAACAGCAAUAUCCCAAGAUGUUGGCGUCAAUACAACAAAAGGUAAUGGACUUUAUCCUCACAGGUCAACUGAGGCACAUGGUGUCCUCGGUUCUGAUAUGAAUAGCUGUGGUGGAGACUUCCUGUGUUCAACUGGAUCUGCUGGUUCAAGACUGUCACACAUUGCUUUGAAUUGCAAUGGGUGUGUGGAAUAUGAAGUCUGCUGGAAAAGACAAGUCAUAAAUGUCUGGAACACCACAUACAUUUGAGCUAUAAGUUCCACAUUCAGAAAGCACAGAGUCUGCAGAUCGCGGGUGAUGGAUAAAGGAUUCCCCCCUCUUUAGUGAUAUCCAAUGAAUCACUUAAGGACCUGCUACAUCGCUGCAGCUUCCAGUGGACUCAGGACAGUCGAUGUCGAGAGAGGUGUCCUACGAACUGAAUCCGACGCCAUUCUGGUUCUAAUUACGCGGCUCGCUCAUAAGCCCAGCCGCGAAUACAGACUUCUACCGUUAUUAACUGACAGGCACCCAAGCCGCCACAGAGUGGCGCUAGAGCACCUUCAGGCAAGGCACCCCGAAUUCUUUUAAUAUCCCGGUCAAACUGUGACUGGGUCGUCCAAUUGCACGGCCCUCUGAUUGCACCCCUUAGCUGCGAACCGGACUCAAACCCUGGUCUUACGGUGUCACCGCUAACUGAGUGUCAAACAUCUGUAAUUCAAACCACACAGUGGCCAGUUUAUUCUAGUAAUGGGGUGGACCCUCUUGUUCCCCCAGAACAGCCUGGAUUCUUCAGGGCAUGGACUGUUUGAGGGGUGUCUAAAACAUUUGAUGGGGAUGUUGGUCAAUGCUGAUGCAAUGACAUCCUUUUGCAAUUGGUACUUAUUUUGAAUGAUGGUACAUUCGUGCUGAAGACAUGUUCCUGUUCCUCAUCUCAUCUUAAAGAUGGUGAGCUGGGGUCCGGUCCGGUGGGGACUGGGCAGGCCAGUCAAGUAAAGAAGGUCAGUUGGGGUUAGAUUUGGGGACUGGGCAGGCCAGUCAAGUAAAGAAGGUCCAUUGGGGUUAAAUCUGGGAACUGGGCAGGCCAGUCAAGUAAAGAAGGUCCAUUGGGGUUAAAUCUGGGAACUGGGCAGGCCAGUCAAGUAAAGAAGGUCCAUUGGGGUUAGAUCUGGGGACUGGGCAGGCCAGUCAAGUAAAGAAGGUCCGUUGGGGUUAGAUCUGGGAACUGGGCAGGCCAGUCAAGUAAAGAAGGUGCAUUAUGGUUAAGUCUGGUUAGGCAUGUCAUUAAUUUCAAAUAAGUAAUUAAUGAGUAUUUCACAACAAGCUGUGACAGCCAAACUAUUUGCCCAAAUUCAACAGUUUUUCCAGACCUGACCAUGAUGCUAUGUUAGUUUACAUGACAAUGCCCAAUCAACGUAGAAACAUAUUAUCGUUCAUCUUCUGUAACUGAAUUGUAUAGGCAAAUGUAAAUAUAUUAAUAUCACCACUCUGAGCACAUAUUCAUGUAACAAACUUGACACAAUGUAAUCUGUAUGUUCUGUACUGACAGAUUCCAGUAGCAGUCAUAACAUUUCCAGAAUAAAUAAGACCAUUUUAAUUUUUUACCUUUCCUUCAACAGCACCUGUCAAGAUAACUUCAGGUCCAAUCAAUGUGACAGCAACAUCAAGACCACCUGUCAAUGUAACCUCAGGUCAAACCAAUGUGACAGCAACAUCAAGACCACCUGUAAACAUAACUUCAGGUCCAAUCAAUGUGACAGCAAUACCAAGACCACCUGCCAGUGUUACUUCAGGUCCAAUCAAUGUGACAGCAACAUCAAGACCACCUGUCAAUGUAACUUCAGGUCCAAUCAAUGUGCCAGCAACAUCAAGACCACCUGUCA
ensembl:lncRNA